GACGAACGCUGGCGGCGUGCCUAAUACAUGCAAGUUGAGCGCUGAAGGUUGGUACUUGUACCAACUGGAUGAGCAGCGAACGGGUGAGUAACGCGUGGGGAAUCUGCCUUUGAGCGGGGGACAACAUUUGGAAACGAAUGCUAAUACCGCAUAAAAACUUUAAACACAAGUUUUAAGUUUGAAAGAUGCAAUUGCAUCACUCAAAGAUGAUCCCGCGUUGUAUUAGCUAGUUGGUGAGGUAAAGGCUCACCAAGGCGAUGAUACAUAGCCGACCUGAGAGGGUGAUCGGCCACAUUGGGACUGAGACACGGCCCAAACUCCUACGGGAGGCAGCAGUAGGGAAUCUUCGGCAAUGGACGAAAGUCUGACCGAGCAACGCCGCGGGAGUGAAGAAGGUUUUCGGAUCGUAAAACUCUGUUGGUAGAGAAGAACGUUGGUGAGAGUGGAAAGCUCAUCAAGUGACGGUAACUACCCAGAAGGGGACGGCUAACUACGUG
rnacentral:rRNA from 1 species